rnacentral:rRNA from 1 species
GAUGAACGCUGGCGGCGUGCUUAACACAUGCAAGUCGAACGGAAAGGCUCCUGCUUGCCGGGGUACUCGAGUGGCGAACGGGUGAGUAACACGUGGGUGAUCUGCCCUGCACUUCGGGAUAAGCCUGGGAAACUGGGUCUAAUACCGGAUAGGACGAUGGUUUGGAUGCCAUUGUGGAAAGUUUUUCGGUGUGGGAUGAGCUCGCGGCCUAUCAGCUUGUUGGUGGGGUAAUGGCCUACCAAGGCGUCGACGGGUAGCCGGCCUGAGAGGGUGUACGGCCACAUUGGGACUGGGAUACGGCCCAGACUCCUACGGGAGGCAGCAGGGGGGAAUAUUGCACAAUGGGCGCAAGCCUGAUGCAGCGACGCCGCGUGGGGGAUGACGGCCUUCGGGUUGUAAACUCCUUUCGCUAGGGACGAAGCGUUUUGUGACGGUACCUGGAGAAGAAGCACCGGCUAACUACGUG